UACUACUCAGAGGAAAAAAACAAACAAACAAACAAAAAACAAAAAACAAUGGAAUCUUGAAAUUCACAGGCAAAUGGAUGGAACUAGAAGAAACCAUCCUGAGUGAGUGCCUUCAUCCAGUAGCUGAUGGAAGCAGAGGCAGAUACCCACAGCUAAACACUGAGAUGAACUCUGGAAUCCAGUUGCAGAGAAGGAGGAGUGAUUAACAAAGGGGUCAAGACCAGACCGGUGCUACAGGUGAUGGAGACAGAGUUGCCGGUGGUCAUGUUCCUGCUCACCCUGGCUCUGGAUACUCAGCAGCUCACUCCACUUUCUUGUCUAGUACCUGCUACGUGAGGAUGAAGCUGAUCAAGCUACAAAAUCUGGAUGGUGACUGAUGAUGUCUUCCUGGCUGUCCUGGGCAGCAG
rnacentral:lncRNA from 1 species